UAUCACCAACGGUUGGUUAUUAUAACAAACAGCUUGCCGUCGUCGUCGUCGUCUCUCUCUCUCUCUCUCUCUUUUUCUUGGAUUGGCGCCGGAUUUCUUCCGACGAUGGCAAGGUGCCUCGUGGAUCCUCCACGCGCGAUGGCUUCCCCUCCAAUCUCUCCUUUCUCUUUUACACCCGCGCUUCAGCUAUUUCUUGGAAGCAUCGGUGGAUGAGAUGAUUAAGUUCUUGGCCAACGAGAUGAUUAAGUUCGUCCAGCAGCACGCCGAAGCCUCCAUCGCCUAUCUCCUCAGCCUCAAAACAGAUUUAUGAAGUAACCUGCAUACAGAAGGCAUAGAGGAUUCUUCUGUUCGAUGAGGUCAACGACUGAACACCGGAUUCCUGUUGCUGAGGAGAUGAAGGACUUCAGCUAAAUUUCUACUAAUCAGCAUCUGGAUAAUGUUAAUGAUGCAGGAUGUUUCGAUCAGGAUGAGACAAUUAAAGCAGGAAAAAUCAUGUUGGGCCGGAGGAACAUGUCAGAAGAUUGGACGUCGGGCCGGUGGAUCAGUCGAUGUAUCGACAGAAGGCUUCGGGCCGUGGACUCGGGCAUCGGGCCAAGAAGAGCGGGUAUUGUGCCAAGGAUAUCAGAGUUGCGGAGUCAACUGGCCGAUUGAGCAAUAGGCCGCAGAAGAGGACGAUGCGCCGAAUAAUCAGACGAAGCGUCGAGGGACCAAUGACAUGCCGGACAACUUGGUUAAUUGUUUAGGAUUAAUUGUCUCGAUUGAAGUUUUGUUUUACAUGUGCAGGAUUAACUACGAUGGAAGUAAGACAUGUAGUAGGAGUUGCGUCGGAGUCAAGACUAUGAUCACGUUGGAGGUUCGAGAGUUCGACGGAAGUCCGGACGGUCGUCGGAGGUUCUGCGGGAACAAAUCCGAGAAGUCCAGGAGCUUGCCAAAGAAGCUUAUCGGAACUCGCCAAGUGGAUUGUCGCAAGUCCAGGAGUUUGCCGGAAGUCCGUCGGAGCAUCGUCGAAGGUUUGUCAGAUGUUCGUCGGAAGAAGCGAUUGAUGCACCGGAGCAAGUUGCAGUAAAUGUCUUAAGAAAUAUCGUAGUUAGCAUGUAGAUUAAGUUAGGAAUAGGAGGUGAUUCCAUUAACUUAAUCUGUGGGCAAUUGGGCCAUUGAUAGAUCCAAAUUGGGCCGAAUGGAUUAACCCAUUUGGACCAGAAUUCCGCGGUGGCACUGCCAGGGUCGACGGUGGCAUCGUCCAGGAGAUGGUCUCCCAGGAAAGCUGGGCGGUGGCACCGCUUGGGCUCAGUCUCCGAGCGAGACUGGGCGGUGCAACCGCCCUUGUCAGGCGGUUGUACUGCCCAAGUCAGGAGGUAGUACUGCCAGGACCUCGGAAAUAUGGGAAAUGACAUUUUUGAGCUCCAAAUUCAAACUAGUUUGGAGCCUAUAAUUACCCCUCCCAUCAUUGGGUAAAACACACAAGCACAGAGAGAUUAAAAGAGAGAAAGCACUGUUGCAAUCUCUAGAAUUUCCCUCAUCUAGCUUAAGUGUUAGAAUUCUGUUUAAGAGAGGAGAGUGAGUGCUUGUAAGGGUCGUCUCUUAAACCCGGUAAAAGGAGAAGAGGGGUGUAAGAAGGAGGUUGAUCUUCGCCUAGUAAAGGAAGAUCGUUAGUGGAUGUCGGUGGCCUCGACGGAAGAGGAAUCGGAAGAGUGAAUAUAGGUCACGAUUGACCGAACUACUAUAAACUCUCGUCUUUUCUGGUUUGCAUUUAUUCUUGCUGCUUACCUUACUGCAAACCUCCAUAUGUGCUUUACUUCCUCGUUACUUUUGCUGCACUCAUUCUUUCAAGUUAAGUUUCCGAAAACGGUUUUACGUCGUAAACGAUUUUAUCGUACGAACGUAGUUUUAAAUCCUCGAAAGUUUUCUGCUGCACUAAUUCACCCCUCUAUUAGUACUCUUGAUCUUAACAAUUUUCAGUGACCUCAAUCACUAAAGAUUUUUUAUUUAAUAGCCAACUUGGAUAUAAACCUCAAUCACCACCCGCUCACCAAAAAAAUAAGAAUUUAGUACACUAAACCAAGCAAAUGUCUUGGAUGGAGUUUCACAUUAGCAAAUACAAAAGAGAUCAACUAUUCUAUGCUAAUAGUUGGCAUGCCUGUAUCAUUCUUUUUUUUUGUUUUUUGCCUCAAGUACAAUUUGCUAGUUUAUUGAAAUUUAUCCGCUGUUGCUUUACCUAGCAAAGUAGUCCGUGAGAUGAAGAGGCUAAUACCAUCGGUUUCUCCACUUUGGACACUGUACUAGCGGGACUGGUUUGUUCAACUCAAUGCAUAAUAUUGUUUUAUCCUUCUUGUUAUUGCUUUAGAACUGAUAUGUAUACUUCUUUGUCAUAAGAUUUAAUUUUUGCGGAUAAAUGUAUACUUCUUUGACAUGUUAAUCUGCGCAUGUGCAUUUUUCUUAGUGUAGCUAUAGGCAAGGGAUAAAGGAAUGAUUGGGGAAACAAGGUCAAAGUAGGAGAAAAUUCUUUGUUUCUCGUAAAGUGCCUCG